rnacentral:rRNA from 1 species
AGCAGCCGCGGUAAUUCCAGCUCCAAUAGCGUAUAUUAAAGUUGUUGUGGUUAAAAAGCUCGUAGUUGAACCUUGGGCCUGGCUGGCCGGUCCGCCUCACCGCGUGUACUGGUCCGGCCGGGCCUUUCCCUCUGUGGAACCCCAUGCCCUUCACUGGGUGUGGCGGGGAAACAGGACUUUUACUUUGAAAAAAUUAGAGUGCUCCAGGCAGGCCUAUGCUCGAAUACAUUAGCAUGGAAUAAUAGAAUAGGACGUGUGGUUCUAUUUUGUUGGUUUCUAGGACCGCCGUAAUGAUUAAUAGGGACAGUCGGGGGCAUCAGUAUUCAAUUGUCAGAGGUGAAAUUCUUGGAUUUAUUGAAGACUAACUACUGCGAAAGCAUUUGCCAAGGAUGUUUUCAUUAAUCAGGAACGAAAGUUAGGGGAUCGAAGACGAUCAGAUACCGUCGUAGUCUUAACCAUAAACUAUGCCGACUAGGGAUCGGAUGAUGUUAAUUUUAUAAUGACUCA